rnacentral:rRNA from 1 species
GACGAACGCUGGCGGCGUGCUUAACACAUGCAAGUCGAACGGAAAGGCCCUGCUUUUGUGGGGUGCUCGAGUGGCGAACGGGUGAGUAACACGUGAGUAACCUGCCCUUGACUUUGGGAUAACUUCAGGAAACUGGGGCUAAUACCGGAUAGGAGCUCCUGCUGCAUGGUGGGGGUUGGAAAGUUUCGGCGGUUGGGGAUGGACUCGCGGCUUAUCAGCUUGUUGGUGGGGUAGUGGCUUACCAAGGCUUUGACGGGUAGCCGGCCUGAGAGGGUGACCGGCCACAUUGGGACUGAGAUACGGCCCAGACUCCUACGGGAGGCAGCAGUGGGGAAUAUUGCACAAUGGGCGGAAGCCUGAUGCAGCAACGCCGCGUGCGGGAUGACGGCCUUCGGGUUGUAAACCGCUUUCGCCCGUGACGAAGCGUGAAUGACGGGAAUGGGUAAAGAAGCACCGGCUAACUACGUGCCAGCAGCCGCGGUGAUACCUAAGGUGCGAGCGUUGUCCGGAUUUAUUGGGCGUAAAGGGCUCGUAGGUGGUUGAUCGCGUCGGAAGUGUAAUCUUGGGGCUUAACCCUGAGCGUGCUUUCGAUACGGGUUGACUUGAGGAAGGUAGGGGAGAAUGGAAUUCCUGGUGGAGCGGUGGAAUGCGCAGAUAUCAGGAGGAACACCAGUGGCGAAGGCGGUUCUCUGGGCCUUUCCUGACGCUGAGGAGCGAAAGCGUGGGGAGCGAACAGGCUUAGAUACCCUGGUAGUCCACGCUGUAAACGGUGGGUACUAGGUGUGGGGUCCAUUCCACGGGUUCCGUGCCGUAGCUAACGCUUUAAGUACCCCGCCUGGGGAGUACGGCCGCAAGGCUAAAACUCAAAGGAAUUGACGGGGCCCCGCACAAGCGGCGGAGCAUGCGGAUUAAUUCGAUGCAACGCGUAGAACCUUACCUGGGUUUGACAUGGAUCGGGAGUGCUCAGAGAUGGGUGUGCCUCUUUUGGGGUCGGUUCACAGGUGGUGCAUGGCUGUCGUCAGCUCGUGUCGUGAGAUGUUGGGUUAAGUCCCGCAACGAGCGCAACCCUUGUUCACUGUUGCCAGCACGUUAUGGUGGGGACUCAGUGGAGACCGCCGGGGUCAACUCGGAGGAAGGUGGGGAUGACGUCAAGUCAUCAUGCCCCUUAUGUCCAGGGCUUCACGCAUGCUACAAUGGCUGGUACAGAGAGUGGCGAGCCUGUGAGGGUGAGCGAAUCUCGGAAAGCCGGUCUCAGUUCGGAUUGGGGUCUGCAACUCGACCUCAUGAAGUCGGAGUCGCUAGUAAUCGCAGAUCAGCAACGCUGCGGUGAAUACGUUCCCGGGGCU